rnacentral:tRNA from 1 species
CAGGACGUAGCUACAAACUACAAAGCAUUCAGCUUACACCUGAAAGAUGUUCCUCAACGGGGACCGACCUGA